rnacentral:rRNA from 1 species
UACGGAGGGUGCAAGCGUUAAUCGGAAUUACUGGGCGUAAAGCGCGCGUAGGCGGCUGAGUAAGUCGAUUGUGAAAUCCCCGGGCUUAACCUGGGAACUGCAGUCGAGACUGUCUAGCUAGAGUAUGGGAGAGGGAAGUGGAAUUUCAGGUGUAGCGGUGAAAUGCGUAGAUAUCUGAAGGAACAUCAGUGGCGAAAGCGACUUCCUGGACCAAUACUGACGCUCAUGUGCGAAAGCGUGGGGAGCAACAGG